rnacentral:rRNA from 1 species
AUGGACACCCUUGGUGCAAUAUUCCAAGAGGCUUGCCGGGUCAAGGUGUUGGCUGAUAUUGGAAGGAUGAGCUUGCCCUCUCGGGUCUCGAUCUAUGCCGACGAUGUCGUCGCCUUCAUCAACCCAUCCAACUCUGAGAUUCACGCUGCCGUCCGCCUCCUGGAAACUUUCAGAGAUGCAACGGGACUGAAGACCAACUGGGAUAAAAGUGCGGCUACCCCGAUCCGUUGUGAAGGGAUCACAAUUGAGGCUGUCAUGGAGGGCACCCAGUGCACGACUAAACCCUUCCCGAUCACUUAUCUGGGCCUGCCCCUCUCUGAUGUGCGCCUGAAACGAGAUGAUCUGCAGCCAAUCUUGGAUAGCUUGGCAAAAAGAUUGCGAGGUUGGAAGGCCAAGCUAAUCUCCCUGCCGGGCAGAAUCGAGUUGAUCCGCACGACACUCUCUGCUAUGGCCAUCUACAGACUCAUGGCGAUCGCGCCGCCGGCAUGGUUCAUCAAGCUUGUUGACCGGCUCCGCCACGGUUUUCUCUGGGCGGCGGAUGAAGCUACACCUGCGGGUAGGUGUCUGGUCAGUUGGCGCCAGGUAUGCCGUCCUCGCGAGCUCGGCGGCCUGGGAAUCCUUGACCUUCAGAAGCAAGGCGCCGCGCUCAGAGCACAGUGGUUCUGGAACAAAUGGACAGACGGGACAAGUCAGUGGCACGACCUGAUCAUGCCCAACGAUCCGGCAGCGGAGAAUGUUUUCUGGGCAGCAACUGAGGUCAUCAUUGGUGAUGGAUGCAAGGCAAAUUUCUGGCGCUCGCAUUGGGCGCAUGGCUGCAGACCGGCGGACAGAUGGCCCAACCUCUUCCGCCACUGCAACGGCCGCCGACUCACCAUCAGAGAUGCAAUCACCAACGAUAGGUGGCUGCAGUAUGUCAAGGCUGACCCGUCGGGCGUGGUGCUCCAAGAGCUCUGUGACUUGUGGGAGGCGACCAGAGCCAUUACCCUGACGGAGGGCUCAACGGACCAGAUCAGAUGGAGACUGACGACGUCUGGGCAGUACACAGCGGCAUCGGCCUACCGGAUGCAGUUCCAGGGCUCGAUCCCGACAAAUGACAACGCCAUCAUCUGGAAUGCCAAAGCGGCGCCGAGGGCCAAGGCUUUUGCAUGGAUCCUCCUCCGAGGCAAGUGUCUCACGGCUGAUAACCUUGCCCGACGACAAAUCCCUCAUGACCCGUUGUGCCCUCUCUGUCGCAGCGAGCCCGAGACGGCAGUGCACCUGAUCAGCUCUUGCCAUUUCUCCAAGUCUAUCUGGGCAAGAACUGCACCUUCCCUCGGCCAGCCAUUCUCGGCCAUCGACAUGAACAGUGAACACUGGCGGCUGCCUGCGAGACCGCUUCAGACGUCAGACUGCAGCCCUGUCGCGCUCUUGCAGACCCACAUGGCGAGCUACUUGCCUGCUGGUGGCUUGGUGCCUCUGGAAGGAGAGAAACGCCAGGAUCUUCGAGGGCAAAGUCUGUACCGAGACACAGUUAGCUCGCAAAAUCGUUGA